rnacentral:rRNA from 1 species
UACGGAGGGUGCGAGCGUUGUUCGGAAUCACUGGGCGUAAAGCGCGUGUAGGCGGCCUGCUAAGUCUGCUGUGAAAGCCCGAGGCUCACCCUCGGAAGUGCAUUGGAAACUGGCAGACUGGAGUCCCGGAGAGGAGGGUGGAAUUCCUGGUGUAGCGGUGAAAUGCGUAGAUAUCAGGAGGAACACCGGUGGCGAAGGCGGCCCUCUGGACGGUGACUGACGCUGAGACGCGAAAGCGUGGGGAGCAAACAGG